rnacentral:rRNA from 1 species
GACGUAGGGCGCGAGCGUUGUCCGGAUUUAUUGGGCGUAAAGAGCUCGUAGGCGGCUUGUUGCGUCGGCUGUGAAAACCCGCAGCUCAACUGUGGGCUUGCAGCUGAUACGGGCAGGCUAGAAUUCGGUAGGGGAGACUGGAAUUCCUGGUGUAGCGGUGAAAUGCGCAGAUAUCAGGAGGAACACCGGUGGCGAAGGCGGGUCUCUGGGCCGAUAUUGACGCUGAGGAGCGAAAGCGUGGGGAGCAAACAGG